CAAAAUGAAUGCAGACCGAUCCGAAACCAAUCGCGUCGUUUAACCGCAGCGUCCAUGUCCAAGUCAUCGGCGCUGCCCAAGUGGUCGCCGGCUGAGCUCGCCAGGGCCGCCAAGGAGAGGUUCCGGGAUCUCUAUGCCUCCACCUUCGCCAAGGGCAUAAAAAGGAGCAAAGCGGAGCUUAAAACCCAACUUUCGAGGGCAUCCCUGCUACCACGCCGUGGCCAAUUUGGAGGGGGUGUGCCCCAAUUGUUUAUCACAGACCCUUUCAUGGGAGGUUGUGCCAGCCAACACGACCGUGUUCGAUUUCCAGGAGUUUUCUAGAAGCCACCACGAACGGUCAUGCUAGCCACCACGGACGGUCGUGCCAACUGGUAUGGCCAUGUCGCCACUUGAUAGAGGUCACAGCGCAUGACACGGGCAUCCGUACUACCAGCCGGCACGGGGUCGUGUCAGGCGCUUGGAAAAAUAGUAUAAAAGCUGAUUUUGAGGAGGAAGGGGAUCUAGAUUGGGAGCCACCCAAGGGCCUCUAGAAGACUUAGAAGGAUGAUCACAAGGGGAUUUGAUGGCUCCACACAUAGAAUUUUGGAUCGGGGAGCAUCCGAAGACAAUAUCACGCAUCAAAUGCAUUCUGGAAUCAAAUAACUUUGAGUUAUAUUGCAUUUAUAUUGCUUCUGAUGCUCUUGCCACUUUUAAGGAUUUGCUUACAAAAAAAAAUGAAACAACAGUCUCUCUGUUUCUGAUUUCCCAUUACGAAUAGGGAAAUUGCUAAGUUCUCCAUAUGCUACUCUUGUCAGUUAUACUUCCUCUUAAUCCAGAAUAGAAGGAUAGUUUUCUGGAGGACCGAUCUGCUUGUUGCUUAACUUGUAUCUGAUGUACUCAUCUCAUCGAAGUGUGUUGUUGCAGUUCUUUGAGCUUUCUGAGAAACUAUUGGCCUUUCCAAAAUAUGUAACAAGAAGACAAUCCUUAAAGAUUCCCAAAAUUCACAAACAAUGAAAAAAACAUGGUACCGCGAUGUUAGCAGCCCUUUCACGAUUGCCUCAUGCCAUUGAGAGGGAGUUUAGCAGGAAUUCAAAUUGACGAGUGCAUGGAUAGGGCCCACAUAGGUGAUGAAAUUUCUUGUCGAGUUUCGACCCCUAACCAUUAUGGUGAUUAUUCAAUGCACUUACCAAGUAAGCCGGCCUUGGAGGCACAGACAAUGAAGCGCUAUGUUCAAGAGGCAUGAUACUUAAAGACCAUCGUGAGACCAUUGAAGCAAAUUGCAGGACGAUGACAUUGAUAAUUUAAGUAACUAAAUAAGGAGAAGCCAAAAGGUGAAACCCAAGUACUCACUUCCAUCAUCAUCCAUUCCAUCAAAGAACUUCGCAACCCAACCGUGAAUGGCACAUCAAAUGGAACUAGGUCAGUGUAUGCUCACGAAUGGAAAACAACAAUUGCAAAGGGGAUAUUCAAUACAAUCACAUACCCCAGAAAGCAUCAUGGAGGUAGUAGGAGCAGCAAACAGAGCUCCCUCGUCUAAUGGAGGAGAUGGGAGCCCUGCCUCCUCAUCCUCAGCAUAAGGAUUAAGAGAGUCUGAGAUCCCUGUAAGUCGCAAAUUCUCAAUUAAUUCAACAUUUGGAAUAGCACAUAAAAUCAGAAUCAUACAGACAAUAACAAAGACAACAGAAGGGGAUAUACUAUACCAGUAAUGGCAGAAGUAGCACUGAUCCAUUCAUCAACUAUAACCUUCCAGCCACUGCACAAAAAGUAAAUCAGAUUGAUAUAAACAUCUUAACACAUCUAUGAAUUUGCAAUUACUUGCUUCCUAUCUGCCUUCUGCAUUUUCUGAUUCACAUAAAGCCAAGUAUAACCUAUUAUUGAAUACCCAGAUUAAGGAAAGAUGAAGCAGAGGAGCAGGUUCCUAUUUGUCUGAAGGACACAUCAUUUGUUAAAUCUGUACUACGCCUUAAAUAAGAUAUUGUUAUAGCCAAAUGCUUCAUAAACUAGACUUGGAUUAUAAGGAAUGAAAACUGUCCCUUGAACAGUUAAUAUUGUUUACUAGGAACUUAAUUAGCAGCGGUAUGAACUUAUUGCAGAACAUGUUCAAGAUUGAGAUUACUGUGUUAAAUUCUACUGAAACAUUGAUUUUU